rnacentral:rRNA from 1 species
GACGAACGCUGGCGGCGUGCUUAACACAUGCAAGUCGAACGGAAAGGCCCUGCUUGCAGGGUACUCGAGUGGCGAACGGGGGGGUAACACGUGGGUGAUCUGCCCUGCACUUCGGGAUAAGCCUUGGUAACUGGGUAUAAUAUCGGAUAGAAGCCAUUUUGAGUUUGAUGGGGGGAGAGUUUUUUUGGUGUCGGGUGAGGGCGCGGCCUAUCAGGUUGUUGGUGGGGUAAUGGCCUACCGAGGCGGAGACGGGUAGCCGGACCGGGUGGGUGGACGGCCUCAUUCGGACUGGGACUCGGCCACGGCCCCUACGGCAGGCAGAAGUGGCGAAUAUUGAUCAAUGGGCGCGAGCCUGAUCCAGAGCCACCGCGUCCGGGAUGACGGCCUUCGCGUUGUAGUUUCCUUUCGCUAGGGCCGAAGCUUUUUGUGACGGUACCUAGAUAAGAAGCACCGGCUAACUCCGUG